UUGUUCUUGCAUGGGUACGUUACACUGUAGCAUUGCGCACGCGCACGUGUCACUAUACAGCUUGUAGCGUUCCAAGCGCCAUGCUUACUUGUUUUAUGCAUUGUCAAAUGCAAUCGGCUGCUGAUGCAAAGUUGCACUGGUUUUUUAUUCUGACUAAGCUGCAAAACUUGUAGCCUAGUACAUGCUUCAUCUAGGAGUGCAAUCGGGACUGCUUAUCGUUUAUUAAUGAAUAACUGUGGUUCACCUUAUUUGUAACUGCAUAUCUGGCUUUCAACUGACCUGAUGCUCUUAUUUUGUUCUUUUCACUGUUUAGACGGCGGGACAUAUUGGUGUCUUGGCGCUAGCUGGAUGGCGGGACCUCAUCAUUAUGAUCAGUGUUUUGCUUGCCUGUGUCUACAAGACCCUUCAUGUGUCACCUGCGACAGAAAGCAUUUGUGGGCAGCCAGUGCUCUCCUACAAAGACUGGCCUGCUCUGGCUGCGACAGCAAUGAUCUUGCACAUCUAUGCAUGGCCAACUUUGCUGCUAUUUGUCACUCUUGUUAAUUACACUUCCUGCAUCUUUUCUCAUUUAUUGGGUAAUAAAGUUUGACUGUGUGACAUGGUGU
rnacentral:lncRNA from 1 species